GGCCGAGCACCACCCCAGAGCGAGGAACACGGAACCGGGAGCACCACGGGGACCCAUGGAGCAUCCACCCGGGGCAGCGGUGAAGAGGGUGCCGGGAUCGGGCGGGAGGAGCACGGACACCCACCGGAGCAUCCCCCUGAGGGUAGGAAUCCCCACGGAGCAGCGAGAGCUGCGGAGCAUCCCCGGGGUGAGAAGGGAGGACACCGACAGAGAAUCCCUUGGGUCACCGAGCAUCGAGAGCGACCGAGCAUCCCCGUGGUGAGGACGACGGUGCCAGGAGCAGCACGGAGAGUGAGAUAGCAUCCCCCAGAGGGUGGGAAUCCCGACAGAGAGCGGCGGAGCAUCCCCGGGGGUG